ensembl:lncRNA
AUGACUAAGCUCCCCAUAAUCUGCAUAGAGUUAUGGAUCAGAGGGGCAGUGAUCCCUCAGAUGGGUGUCAGAGGACCUGAGUGCUAUGCCUGCCUGGGUCUGCAUUGCCAGCCAGGCCUAAACUGGUGUACAGUGGGGUUGCCAUCACUGUUGCUUGGAAAAGUCCCUUCUUCUUUCUGGCCUCAACCAUCGUGGCUCCAUGAGGGGCUGAUCUCCAGCUCUGAAAGUCUCUUUCUGUCUCUGGGGCUCAGUUUCCCUAUGUGUAAAGUGAGGGGCCAGUCUGGCUCCUCUUUAAAGUCCCCGCCAGCCCUGAUAUCUGGUGUGCUGAGUGUAUAAUGUGGGCAUUUCCGCUCUCAUGACCUGCCAGUGGGACCGAGGUUUUGGUGGCGCCACUCACAUCAUAUGCGUCGUAGGCGGCCCUGACUCUGCUGAAGCCUCCGCCAGGAAGCCGACAGGGGAAAAGUCCUCCCUGCACCAGCCGUGGAUUUCAGGGAGAGGCACCCACCCACCGGGAGAACAAACAUUAGCAUCCGUGUGGUCACCACUUGGAGGUGCACAGAUGAGGGCUAAUCAAAGGCAUGGAGAGGUGUGUUUUUGUCAGUGAAUCCCCUUGGCUGGGGAGCAAAUCUCCAUCUUGGCAGGAGGGACUCUUACUCGAUCAGGGCUGAGUUCUACGAGCGACUGUAAAUUCUCAGUAAAACAGCCCCGUUGGGCCUAAUUUCAACCACUUAACCCAGAGGUUGCAUUCUUGAAGUGUUCUGCCAAACGCAUUCGUCUCCCGGCUCCGAGACCACAGCUCCUGAGCUCUUGCACGCAGCAGCUGCUUUACCGCCAGCCUUUCUGUUCUCACCUGCCUGCGAGACUUGGGGUCCACCCCUUUCGACCCCUGCUUCCUUCUCACUCCCACUCAAGGGAGCCUCCCAAUGUGGCUUCUUGGCAAGUACAGGUCUGAGCUGGCCACCCUGGCUUCUGUUGGUUUGAGACCAAACAGCCAGGCAACUCAAUCAAAACCUGGUCAGCAUUGGAAACCCUAUCUAAAUGCCUGACUGGGUCAGUGAGACACUAAGUCAAGUUGGCCAAAGAACAGCAGAAAUGGGCAACCAGACCAAACUACUAGUCAGCGUGGCCGAACAUCAGUCAGCUGGUCUGAAUAGUGCCAAAACGACCUAUCCACUUAGCCCAAGCAAUGAGUACCUUCAAAACAACUGGGUCAAACUAUAACAAAACAUCCACUUAAUUUGAAUAACAAGUCAAUGUGGUCAAGUCAUACCAAAGCAAUUGUUCAGCUCAGUCAAACAACCAAUCAGCUUGAUCAAACAACUCUCAAACAACCUGUCUUUAGAGUUAAACAAAGUCAAAACACCAAACCAACUCAACAACUAGCCAUUAGGUCAAACAAUGCCAGAACAGUGGGUCAGCUGGGUCAAAUAAUAGCAACACACCCAGCUGUUGUAAACAACCAAUCGAUGGCCUCAUACAACGUCAAAAUAUUUGGAUUAAUUCAUUCAAACAUCCAGUCAUUUCCAUCAAACCCAGUCCACAGAGUUAAUGAAUGGCAAAACACCUACCCAACCUAAACAGCCAGUCAAAUGGGUCCAACCGUGACAGAAUAACUGGUCUACUUGGUGAAACCACCAAUCACCACAGCUAAACAAGCAGUCAACCCAAUCAAACUAUGCAAAAGCAACAGGUCACACUGGUCACCAAGCAGUAACAAAACACCCACUCCGUUCUGUCAAACAACCACUCAAGCAGGAGAGGCUGUGUCUAAACAUUCAGUCAAUUCCAUCAAGAGCCGGUUGCCUCGAUACUAUGAAACCAAAACAACCACUUAACUUGGUUAAAUUAAUGAUGAGGCUACGUACUUGGAGAUGUACCCUCCACCCUGUCCAGCAUUCCCAGCUGAGCAUCACCAAAAGAGGCAGUCUUACAGCAAAGUGAAUGGUUAACUUCUCUCUUUCACCAAAACACCCAUCAGUUCAGUCUUGCAACAUCCAGGAAGAAAUCAGACCUCUCGCUCCUCUGGGUAAACUCUCUAACUUGGAGAUUGAGUUUCUCAGGUCAGGGGAGAAUGGUCAUAGGCAGAUGGGGAGGUUUGAGAGAACUGUUUCUGU